UGCAGUCGACGGCAGCACGGACUUCGGUCUGGUGGCGAGUGGCGAACGGGUGAGUAAUGUAUCGGAACGUGCCUAGUAGCGGGGGAUAACUACGCGAAAGCGUAGCUAAUACCGCAUACGCCCUACGGGGGAAAGCAGGGGAUCGCAAGACCUUGCACUAUUAGAGCGGCCGAUAUCGGAUUAGCUAGUUGGUGGGGUAACGGCUCACCAAGGCGACGAUCCGUAGCUGGUCUGAGAGGACGACCAGCCACACUGGGACUGAGACACGGCCCAGACUCCUACGGGAGGCAGCAGUGGGGAAUUUUGGACAAUGGGCGAAACCCUGAUCCAGCCAUGCCGCGUGAGUGAUGAAGGCCUUCGGGUUGUAAACUGCUUUUGUACGGAACGAAACGGCCUGUUCUAAUACCCAGGGAUNAUGACGGUACCGAAGAAUAAGCACCGGCUAACUACGUGCCAGCAGCCGCGGUAAUACGUAGGGUGCAAGCGUUAAUCGGAAUUACUGGGCGUAAAGCGUGCGCAGGCGGUUGAAAGUAGAUGUGAAAUCCCCGGCUUAACUUGAACUGCGUUUUGAAACUA
rnacentral:rRNA from 1 species